CGCGUAGGCGGCCGAUCAGGUCAGAUGUGAAAGCCCGGGGCUUAACCCCGGAAGUGCAUUUGAAACCGGUUGGCUUGAGUAUGGGAGAGGAGAGCGGAAUUCCUGGUGUAGAGGUGAAAUUCGUAGAUAUCAGGAGGAACACCGGUGGCGAAGGCGGCUCUCUGGACCAAUACUGACGCUGAGGCGCGAAGGCGUGGGUAGCAAACA
rnacentral:rRNA from 1 species